rnacentral:lncRNA from 1 species
GAAGAAUUGGGCAAAGGAAUUGAAGGUAAGGUAGUAGUAGUUAUUGUCCAUACAAUAGAAGCCAUGGAUACCCUUUCAAGGAUUCAAUUUCUCCCCUCAAUUUCACCAUUUUCUCGUUUCCCAACUUCUGCAUUUUUCAAAACUACCCCUCUUGUUUCAGUGCUAAGAGCUUCUCCUCCUUCUUCAGGUUACCCACCUCUCUUCAUUUUCCCUCAUUUGGUUCCAACCAUCUUUUUACAUUGAAGUUGAAGAACCUUAAUAAAAUCAUUUCAUGGGCACCUUUUUUUAGAUAGUGUUACUGAUAAAGUUUAGUUUUUUUUGGAAAAGGUUUUGUGGGAAAUGGAUGAUGAACAUUAACUGCAGAUGCUUUAUGAAGUCAUGAAUGUAAUUAUGCACCAAUGAUUGUAAUUACUUAUGUAUACACUUUGCAUUUGUCUCACAAACUCUCAUUAUCUGAGUCUGCAGUAGAAACAUCUCUGUAAGAAAUGGAGAUAGCUCGUUUUGAUAAUCCUAGCAGAAUUGGACCUCAUUAUUGUUUCAACCAAUUUUUUUUGCAGUAAUAAUGUGACACUAGGUUUAGUAUUGUUUUAAAUAAUAAAGGAUAAGAGAAUUUAGCUGUUUUUUUGUUUAACUAAAUAUGGCGUGCAUGAUCAACUCGAUAACUAGGUAUCGAGAUUGGCUUAAAAUCAUUGUCCGCUUAUCUUUUUUGAAGUAUGAAUACCAAGAGAAUGGGAUUAAAAGAAGAUGAAGUUAGAGUGGAUUUGUCAGAGUUUCAAUGACAUCCAUGUAUGCUUUGUUAUGCUGUAGAUUUUAUAGUGUUGUUACGAUUUAAGCCGAGUUCUUCUUGAUUAAAAGCUGGUGAGGUUUGACAUUUUUCUUUGUUAUUUUUGGGUCUUUUGGUGGAUAAUUCUUCACCCUUGCAGCUUCUAAAUUUAUUGAAGUAUAUGUUCUGCCACCAUGGUUUAUAUACUUCUAACCCCAAAAUAAGUAAUGUUUACUAUUUUGUGCAGUAUGUUUUUUCCUUGUCACUCUGAAAUCUUUGUUUAUGCUGAAAGCUAAUUGGUUGAAGCCCUUAUUUUAUAGUCAGUGAUGUAGAUGAGGAAGUCUUGCAAGGAUUUUUUAAGGAGAGAGAAGUAACUGGGGAUUUUAUAUCUAGAGCUUCUGAUUUAUUGUGGCGAAGGAAUUUCCGAAAUUCUGAUAUUAGCAAGCUUACCAACAACAACGUCUCACAACAAACAGAACAGAUCAUAGAGACCAACAGUGAUGGUGGUUUUUUGAAACUUACAAGAACCCAAGAAUGGGUAUUAGGUGACAAUUCUGCACCCAUAAACAAGAAAUUGACUGCUAAGAUGUUGCAGGACAACAGUACAAGACGGAAGAAACUGAACAUGCUUCAAUAUGAAUCUCUUAAGAGGGAAAUAUUGCUUCUCUCCGUGGGUAUUGGAGUAGCUUUAAGUGGAUAUUGCUGGAUAGCUUUCUCAAUCCAGGUAAACAUUACAUUCCCAUGCUCUUUUAGAGGAAAAAUAACCAUGUCUCUCCAAGUUGCUUUCAUAAUUGAGAACUAUAACAAGUUUCUGUUUAUCACCACUCAAUUAUGCUAAUUUCAUCACUAUAAGGCUAACUUUAUAUGGAUUCCUGUGUCUUACCUUAAUGAUUUAUUUAACUUUCAGUACUACCAUGGUUUAAAUUUUAAAUUAUUUCCUUCAUUUGUAUUGCAAUGAUAUACAUGCUGUUCUUUUGAUGUUCAGGCUGCCGUAAGUUAUGCAACGGGAGUCCUUUUCAGGUUCGUUGUUGCAUUUUAUCAUGCUGAUACUUUCGUGUUGAAGUAAUUAAUUAUUGAUGUGCUUAAGUGGUCACAGCUACUGGUGCUUGGCUCAAAAGAUUAAAACUUCCGAAACAUCACUUCGGAUAAGUUUGUCAUUCUUUUCUGACAUUUUAAAAAUGCUUUCUGUCGUCUGAGAAGUCGAGUGAAUUUGAAGUUGUUGAUUAUCACUUUUAUCAUUCAUUGCUUAUUAUGGUAUUUAACUGAUAUAUCAUUUUAAAUGCAGUUGCUUAUACCUUCGGCUUUUGUAUCUACACGCAGACAACCUAUCCACGGAAACUGUUCCUCAAAUAUUCACGAAAAAGAAGUCAAAGAAGUACAAAUGAAAUCAUGUGCUUUGAUCUAAUCAUUCCAUUUAGCAUUCUCUAUUGUUGGCAUUUUCUCAUCCUUUGUUUUGAUUGAACAAUUUUUCUUAACCAGAAUCGGUAUAAGAAGUGAGGACCUUCAAGAUUCAUUAGAGAAGUCAAUCAAGGGUAUCAGUAUUUCACUUUCGUCUCCAAGGCUCGUGAUUCCAGCAGCAAUUUACGGCCUUUGGGUUCUGUCUCACCAGUAUUUCGCCAAUGACUUCUUCGAUUUUCAGCUUGUACCAGCCAUGUUAGGGAUGUUUGUCUACAAGGCUGCUGCUCUAGUUCAAGUUUAUAGAGACAAUGAAGACUUACAGUUCGUAUUUCCGAACGACGACGAUAGUUCUAGUGACUGAAAUGUUUAUAUUCUAAGCUCACCAGACACUUCUCCAUAUAAUCCUCAAAUACUGGAAAUGCCUACUUGCAUCAGAAACUGAGCUCUGCUUAGUACUACUGUUCACUACAUGUUGAAUGCCAUAAAAGAAUGGGGUAGCUUCCUCUCACCCUCAACGUUUUUGUACCUAAAAAAUGAGUUGUGAUGUGCUAAGAUGUAGUAGUAGUAGUAGUACAUUGAUAUUCAAUUGUUUUUUAUUGUGUCAUUUUCCUUUUGAUUAAUUGUUGAUGUCCUUAUGCAAGAUAAAAGUGGAUAUUAACUUCCAACUUCACCAUACUCUUGCAGGGGUGUAAACACAAACAACAAAUAUUAACACAAAUAAAAAUCGCCG